rnacentral:rRNA from 1 species
GUGUCAGCAGCCGCGGUAAUACAGAGGGUGCAAGCGUUGUUCGGAAUUACUGGGCGUAAAGCGCGUGUAGGUGGCGGCGUAAGUCGGGUGUGAAAUCCCUUGGCUUAACCAAGGAAGUGCACUCGAUACUGUGUCGCUUGAGUAUCGGAGGGGACGGCGGAAUUCCCGGUGUAGAGGUGAAAUUCGUAGAUAUCGGGAGGAACACCUGUGGCGAAGGCGGCCGUCUGGACGAUUACUGACACUGAGACGCGAAAGCGUGGGUAGCAAACAGGAUUAGAAACCCCUGUAGUCC